ACUCAAAUGAAUUGACGGGGGCCCGCACAAGCGGAGGAGCAUGUGGUUUAAUUCGAUGGUACGCGAGGAACCUUACCUGGGCUAGAAUGCGAGUGACGUCCCGUGAAAGCGGGAUUCCCUUCGGGGCACAAAGCAAGGUGCUGCAUGGCUGUCGUCAGCUCGUGCCGUGAGGUGUUGGGUUAAGUCCCGCAACGAGCGCAACCCUUAUCAUUAGUUGCCAUCAGGUUAAGCUGGGCACUCUAGUGAAACUGCCUGCGUAAGCAGUGAGGAAGGUGGGGACGACGUCAAGUCAUCAUGGCCCUUACGCCCAGGGCUACACACGUGCUACAAUGGAUGGGACAGAGAGUUGCUACAUGGUAACAUGAUGCUAAUCUCAUAAACCCAUUCUCAGUUCGGAUCGAGGUCUGCAACUCGACCUCGUGAAGGUGGAUUCGCUAGUAAUCGCGUAUCAGCUAUGACGCGGUGAAUACGUUCCCGGGCCUUGUACACACCGCCCGU
rnacentral:rRNA from 1 species